UGCCAGCCGCCGCGGUAAUACGGAGGGUGCAAGCGUUAUCCGGAUUCAUUGGGUUUAAAGGGUGCGUAGGCGGCCUUAUAAGUCAGUGGUGAAAUCCCGCAGCUCAACUGCGGAACUGCCAUUGAUACUGUAAGGCUUGAAUCUAUUUGAAGUGGGCGGAAUACGACAUGUAGCGGUGAAAUGCAUAGAGAUGUCGUAGAACACCGAUUGCGAAGGCAGCUCACUAAGUUAGUAUUGACGCUGAUGCACGAAAGCGUGGGUAGCGAACAGGAUUAGAUA
rnacentral:rRNA from 1 species